rnacentral:rRNA from 1 species
AAUUUUGGACAAUGGGGGAAACCCUGAUCCAGCCAUCCCGCGUGUAUGAUGAAGGCCUNCGGGUUNUNAAGUACUUUUGUCAGAGNCGAAAAGGUAUCUCCUAAUACGAGAUACUGCUGACGGUAUCUGCAGAAUAAGCACCGGCUAACUACGCGCCAGCAGCCGCGGUAAGACGUAGGGUGCAAGCGUUAAUCGGAAUUACGGGGCGUAAGGCGUGUGUAGGCGGUUCGGAAAGAAAGAUGUAAAAUCCCAGCGCUAAACCUUGGAACUGCAUGUUUAACUGCCGAGCUAGAGUAUGUCAGAGGGGGGUAGAAUUCCACGUGUAGCAGUGAAAUGCGUAGAUAUGUGGAGGAAUACCGAUGGCGAAGGCAGCCCCCUGGGAUAAUACUGACGCUCAGACACGAAAGCGUGGGGAGCAAACA